rnacentral:lncRNA from 1 species
GUCCUGUUUUUUCAUAUAAGUUUAAAUCUAUGAGUAUGGUAGUGAUAAGUUUAUUACCUUUGAUUAUUUUGUAUUACCUAGUUUUUUAUUAGCUUUGGGAUGGGAUUUUUCUUUAAUUUUUGGAUUAGUUUUGGUUUUUUGCAUUAUCUAGCUUUUUAUUAGCUUUGAUUGCUAGUCCUUUUUGGAUUGAACUAAUAGCAGAUUUAGAGUAGUGAAGACUAACUUGACCUUUAGGUCCUGUUUUUUCAUAUAAGUUUAAAUCUAUGAGUAUGGUAGUGAUAAGUUUAUUACCUUUGAUUAUUUUGGAUUAUCCAAUUUUUUAUUAGUUUUGGGAUGGGAUUUUUCUUUAAUUUUUGGAUUACUUUUGGUUUUUUGCAUUAUCUAGCUUUUUAUUAGCUUUGAUUGCUAGUCCUUUUUGGAUUGAACUAAUAGCAGAUUUAGAGUAGUGAAGACUAACUUGACCUUUAGGUCCUGUUUUUUCAUAUAAGUUUAAAUCUAUGAGUAAGAUAGUGAUAAGUUUAUUACCUUUGAUUAUUUUGUAUUACCUAGUUUUUUAUUAGCUUUGGGAUGGGAUUGUUCUUUGAUUUUUGAAUUAGUUUUGGUUUUCUGCAUGAUCUAGCUUUUUGUUAGCUUUGGGAUGGGAUUUUUCUUUGAUUUUUGGAUUAGUUUUGGUUUUUUGCAUUAAUUAGCUUUUUUUAUUAGCUUUGAUUGCUAGUCCUUUUUGGAUUGAACUAAUGAAACCAGAUUUAGAGUAGUGAAGACUAACUUGGCCUUUAGGUCCUGUUUUUUCAUAUAAGUUUAAAUCUAUGAGUAUGGUAGUGAUAAGUUUAUUACCUUUGAUUAUUUUGGAUUAUCCAAUUUUUUAUUAGUUUUGGGAUGGGAUUUUUCUUUAAUUUUUGGAUUACUUUUGGUUUUUUGCAUUAAUUAGCUUUUUUAUUAGCUUUGAUUGCUAGUCCUUUUUGGAUUGAACUAAUGAAACCAGAUUUAGAGUAGUGAAGACUAACUUGGCCUUUAGGUCCUGUUUUUUCAUAUAAGUUUAAAUCUAUGAGUAUGGUGGUGAUAAGUUUAUUACCUUUGAUUAUUUUGUAUUACCUAGUUUUUUAUUAGCUUUGGGAUGGGAUUGUUCUUUAAUUUUUGAAUUAGUUUUGUUUUUUUGCAUUACCUAGCUUUUUAUAAGCUUUGAUUGCUAGUCCUUUUUGGAUUGAACUAAUAGCAGAUUUAGAGUAGUGAAGACUAACUUGACCUUUAGGUUCUGUUUUUUCAUAUAAGUUUAAAUCUAUGAGUAUGGUAGUGAUAAAUGUAUUACCUUUGAUUAUUUUGGAUUAUCCGAUUUUUUAUUAGCUUUGGGAUGGGAUUUUUCUUUAAUUUUUGGAUUAGUUUUGGUUUUUUGCAUUAAUUAGCUUUUUAUUAGCUUUGAUUGCUAGUCCUUUUUGGAUUGAACUAAUAGCAGAUUUAGAGUAGUGAAGAGUAACUUGGCCUAUAGGCCUAUCACUUUAAAUAGAUGAGUAUGGUAACAAUAUGUUUAUUACCUUUGAUUAUUGAUUGUGCAUUAGCUAACAUUUUAUUAGCUUUGGGAUUUUUCUUUAAUUUUUUAUUAGUUUUGUUUUUUUACAUUAUCUAGCUUUUUAUUAGCUUUGAUUGAUUGCAAGUCCUUUUUGGACUAAACUAAUGUGCAGAACACAUAGAACUGUGAAGAUCAACUUGGCCUUUAGGUCCUGUUUUUUCAUAUAAGUUUAAAUCAAUGAAUAUGGUAGCAACAGCGAUAUGUUUAUUACCUUUGAUUAUUGAUUAUUAUGUAUUAUCUAAUAUUUUAUUAGCUUUGGAUUUUUCUUUAAUUUUUCAUUAGUUUUGGUUUUUUGCAUUAUCUAGCUUUUUAUUAGCUUUGAUUGAUUGCAAAUCCUUUUUGGACUGAACUAAUGAGCAGAACACAGAACUGUGAAGAUUAAUUUGGCCCUUAGGUCCUGUUUUUUCAUAUAAGUUUAAAUCAAUGAAUAUGGUAGCAACAGCGAUAUGUUUAUUACCUUUGAUUAUUGAUUAUUGUGUAUUAUCUAAUAUUUUAUUAGCUUUGGGAUUUUUGUUUAAUUUUUCAUUAGUUUUGGUUUUUUGCAUUAUCUAGCUUUUUAUUAGUUUUGAUUGAUUGCAAAUCCUUUUUGGACUGAACUAAUGAGCAGAACACAUAGAACUGUGAACAUUAACUUGGCCUUUAGGUCCUGUUUUUUCAUAUCAAUUUAAAUCGAUGAGUUUGGUAGCAAUUAUGUUUAUUACUGUUAAUUAUUUUGUAUUAUCCAGAUUUUUAUUAGCUUUGGGAUUUUUCUUUAUCUAAUUUUUCAUUAGUUUUGUUUUUUUGCAUUAUAUAUAUCUAGCUUUUUAUAAACUUUGAUUGUUUGCAAGUCAUUUUUGGAUUGAACUAAUAGCAGAUGUAGAGCUGUGAAGAUUAACUUGGCCUUUAGGUCCUGUUUUUCCAUAUCAGUUUAAAUUGAUGAGUAUGGUAGUGAUAUGUUUAUUACUUUUGAUUAUUUUGUAUUAUCUGACUUUUUAUUAGCUUUGGGAUUUUUCUUUAAUUUUUCAUUAGUUUUGGUUUUUUGCAUUUAUCUUUUUGUUAGCUUUGGGUUUUUUGGUAUUAUCCAGCAUUUUAUUAGCUUUGAUUUUUUGUAUUAUCCAACUUUUUAUUAAUUUGGUAUUUUGAAUUAUCCAAAUUUUUAUUAGCUUUGAUUUUCUGUAUUAUCCAGCUUUUUAUUAACUUUGGUAUUUUGAAUUAUCCAGCUUUUUUUAUUAGUCUUGUUUUUUUUUUUUUUUUAAUUAUCUGCUUUUAUUAGCUUUGGAAUUUCCUUUAUUCAGUUUUUUUAAAAUUACUUUUAAUUUUUUGAAUUAUCUAGAGUAGACAGUUGGUAGAUGCAGAAACCUGAAGGAUUCUAGUAAGUUGAAGCCUGAUGAGGGAGAAGAGUGUGGUCCAGAAUUCAUAAAGACUUAUUAUUACCACCUGGGCUGAGUGCUGAAGACAUCUUGCCUCUCCUGAAGCCAACGAGCCCCAUAGUCUUUAUUGAUAUUUCUGUGCUUCCUAUAUCUCCAUGACAGAAAGACAGCCUUUCUCUAAGAUAUCAUAGUAGAGCAAGUACAACUUCUGAGCAGCAUGUAUGAAAAUACAUGCCAGGGAAGAAUUCUUCAUGAUUUUGGCUGGUUAUCCAUCACACCAGGGGAUGAUAAGUCCCCUUCACAACAGACAUAGACUGAGCGCAGCAUUUUGUAUUUCACUGUACUAACCCAGAAGCUUGACUUCCCUUGAGGUGAGAGUGGGUAUUCUUCAAGGGGGAUAGAACCGAGGAGUGUGAAGGGAGGACAGGUGGAUAGAGUAGCUCAGAAUAGGGACCCAAAUGCAGCACACUUUCUCCUCUCCCAGUCCUGCCCCCUCGGUGAAGAAAUAAGCAGAUUCAUUUGGAGAAUUUUUUUAACCUGCUAAAGGGUGAGAUGGUUUAGGAAGAAGGAUUAUUGCUGGAGAUCCCUGUCUGUACUCACCAAGAGGUUUGCAGUUACCCUGGAGGAAAGUUUCAGAAGGAGUAGCCCACGUGGGCCAAGGAGUAGGGAGCUUUGGUGUCUUCUUGAUGGUCUCUGCUCUCUUCAGACAGGUUCAGAAAGUGGACAAGUCUUUGUCAAGAUGGGGGUUUUGAAGUUCGAUUUUUCCAUUGCUAUUAUCUGUUUUCAGGACCUGCUAUACUGGUUCAAUGUCACCUGUGAACCCUCAUUUAACAUGCUUGCUGCUUAUUAUAUUUACUGUAAUCACAUAUCAUAAUUCUAAUAAAGAUUCAGGUUUCAGGUU